GGAUGCACAGCAUUUAGAGCGGAGCUGCGGGAGCCCCUUGGUUGAUACCCGUGGGAGGAGGGCCUACCCGAGCGGCGUAAGUCUUCUUCGGAAGCCGCUGCUGAAGUCUGGACACUUGGACUCCCCUCUCGUCCGGUCACUCCCCCGUCGGGGCUGCUUUCUGUAUCCCCGGCUUGGCGAACCUCUACGGCUGCCGCUGGCGUUCGCGCGGCGCAGUCACUUCCGGGUUGGUCAGGCCGGCGCUGACGUCAUUAGUCGGCGCCGGAUCCUGGCCUCCGGCUUUCAGCAGUGGGAGGAGGCGUGGCCUUGGACCGGAUGGGGAGGAUGCCGGUGCGCGCCCGGCAAGUUCAAAUCCAGCCAGCUCUCACUGCAGGCUGGUGUUUUGGCCUGCAGUGAUCUCCAUUGAUGAAAGCCAGUGGCAGAAAAUGGAGCCCACACAGCGCGCGGAACCCACUGAAACCACCAACGAAUCCUCGGUGCCGGUGGGGGUAAUAGGGGCGAAUGCCCUGCCUUUCCAUUUAUCUCAGAACCUGAUAGUUGUCUUUGUUUCGUGUAUUGAGACUUCCAAAGAGAGAAGGGGGUCAAGGUCCAAGGAGCGGGGCUGCGCUAUUUGCAAGAGUAAGCUACCGUCCGGUUGGGGCAAACCUGCAUGCCAGGCCUGCGUGGGCAAAUUAUUGGAGGAUGAGGCCCCUUCUCUCUUAUCAAGCCUAAAAAGAUUAUUAAGGAUGAGGUUAAAGAAUCAGUAAAAGAAUCCUUGAGUAAUCUGCUUGAAGAUUGCCCUAGCACUUCCGCUGCUGUCUCUGUUCCCGCUUCCAGUGAUCAGGAGUUGUUAUCGGGAUUAGAGGAGGAGGGGGAACUUCCGUCCUCGGAUCAUUCCCAGGACGAGCAGCUGGCAGGGAGACCCUUGUUCCUCCCAGAGAACAUUAAUUCCCUAGUUGGGAUCGUCAGGGCAACUAUGGGGCUUGAUGACCAAGCAGAACCCCAGUCCAUGAGGGAUUCCAUGUUCGAGGGCCUAGGUCCCAGAAGACUAAAAUGUUUUGAUGUGCAUGAAAACAUAACUUCGGUUAUUAAGAAUGAAUGGAGCAGGCCGGAUAGAAAAUUUUUCGUGCCUUCUGCCUUAAAAAGGAAGUAUCCCUUUGAGGACAAAGCCUCAGCUGAUUGGGAUAGAGCCCCAAAACUGGAUGCUCCGGUAGCGAAGAUUUCUAAGAGAGCAGCCCUCCCGUUUGAAGACUCGGGAACUCUAAAAGAUGCAAUGGACAGAAGAGCCAAGGUCUAUUUAAAGAAGAACUGGGAGGCGACGGCUGGCUCUUUCAGGCCCGCUAUAGCCGCCACUUCUGUUGCCAGGUCUUUAAAGGUCUGGAUGAAAGAGAUGGAGGAACAGAUGAAGAAGGGAGCGCCCGUGGAACAACUUCUCUCGUCAUUCCCAACUCUGUAUAGUGCCAUUGACUUCUUAGCAGAUGCCUCAGUGGACUCCCUGAAGCUGUCAGCGAGAGCCGCAGCUCUUUUGAAUUCCGCCCGUAGGGCGAUUUGGUUAAAGGAUUGGAAAGGAGACGCAGGGUCAAAGGCGAAAUUGUGUGCUAUUCCCUGUCAGGGGGAAUUUCUUUUCGGGCCCACGUUGGACGAUCUGCUGGAAAAGGCUUCUGACAGAAAAAAGGGUUUCCCUUCUAUUCAUCAGCAGCCUCCUAAGAAGCCCUUUCGUUCUCAGUCUGCCAGGUUUAACUUCAAGAGAAGAGAAACUCCCAGGCAGUCUGGUAAUGCGGCCAGAAGGAGCAAAGGUUUUCUUUUUUCAGGUGGAGAGGCCUCUAAAAAGCCUCCGCAAUGACGCCAGGUCCCCGGUUGGAGGUCGUCUCUCCCUCUUCGCAGAGCAAUGGCGGAAGAUCUCGAACAGCCACUGGAUCCUUUCAAUCAUUUCACAGGGCUAUUGCCUGAACUUCCUGAGAACUCCUCCAGAAAGGUUCGUUUUGACGGACUAUCGCUCCAGCCCAGAGAAGCUAGAAGCAUUGCGUCUGGAAAUUUCAGAUUUACUAAAGAAAAGGGUCCUGCAGGAGGUUCCAGCUCAAGAGAGGGAGAGGGGCUAUUAUUCGACACUUUUUCUUGUAAAGAAGCCGAAUGGCACCUUCCGUACCAUAAUAAAUCUGAAGCUGCUCAACAAAUACCUGGUGUACGAGAGAUUUCGUAUGGAGACUAUCAGUUUCAUAAUCCCGAAUUUAUUCCUGGGCUGCUACAUGGCGACCCUGGACUUCAGGGACGCUUAUUACCACGUCCCAAUCCAUCCCAGUCACCAGAAGUACCUGAGGGUAGCAGUUCAGUUCCCGGACAGACUCCUACACGUACAGUUUCGGGCCCUGCCGUUUGGGUUGUCUCAGGCACCCAGGCUUUUCACGAAGAUUGUAGCAGAGAUGAUGGCUCAUCUGAGGGAGAAGGAUCUGAUUGUCAUUCCCUAUCUAGACGAUUUCCUCCUUCUCUCUUGGGAACCGGAUCAAUUAAUCGAAGGGAUUUCCUGGGUCAGGGAGGUGCUGGUAAAGUUGGGUUGGGAGUUAAAUAUCCAGAAAUCCAAUCUUGUGCCAAGCCAGAUAUGCACCUUUCUGGGGCUGCUCCUGGACUCCCAGAAGCAAAUGUGUUUUCUUCCAACACAGAAAGUCUCUCUGCUAGUCUCCAGGGUUCAGGACAUUGUGACUCGCCGUUCCAUCUCUCUAAGAGAGGCUAUGUCAGUUCUGGGCCUAAUGACGGCCGCAAUCCCGGGGGUAGAAUGGGCCCACUUCCACUCGCGGUCACUUCAGCUGCAGAUCCUGGGAGUUUGGGACAAAGAUCCCCUAUCCUUGGAUUCUCUCUUCUCCCUUUCAACUCAAACGAUAAAAGAUCUAGAAUGGUGGACGGUGCCUUCCAACCUUCAAAAAGGUGUCCCUUGGUCAAGGCAGGAUCCCCUCUCUCUGACUACAGACGCAAGUCCUUGGGGUUGGGGAGCUCAUACAGAUUCUCUACUUCUGCAGGGACAGUGGAAUCAGGAGAUAGUUCCAAGUCUCACAACUUCAAGGAACUUCUAGCGAUCCUCAUGGCCUUGAAAAAGAGCCUCCACCUUUUAAAAGGCAGAAAUGUUCUGAUCUACUCAGACAACAUGACGGCAGUAGCUCAUAUCAAUCGUCAAGGGGGGACCAGAUCUCCAGAUCUAAUGUCUCUCACCAGGGAUAUUUUCGAAAUAGCAGAGGGUUUCCUUCCAUCGAUCAGGGCAGUACACUUAAAGGGAAGGGAGAAUGUGACGGCAGAUUUUCUGAGCAGGCAUUGUGUUCGGCAGGGGGAAUGGUCCCUAAAUCAACAGGUUUUCAGCGACAUUGUGGCUCUUUGGGGUCUCCCGGUGGUGGAUCUCUUUGCCACAAGGGAAAACAGAAAAGUGGAAAGGUUCUUCUCUCUAUCCCCACUAGAGCGGCCCACUGCAGUGGACGCAUUGGCCCAAUCAUGGAGAGUAGGCCUCCUGUACGCCUUCCCUCCUAUAAAGCUACUCCCGAGAGUCCUGAAGAAGAUUCGGGAGAAGGCCCUAGUAAUUACUAUAGCCCCCUUUUGGCCCAGGAGGGUCUGGUUUUCCUGGCUAAGGAGGAUGUGUCAGUAGCAGAUCCCUGGGUACUUCCCGUCUUCCCGGGGCUACUAGUACAGGGGCCGUUACUUCAUCCACAGUUGGAGAGUCUGCACUUGACAGCCUGGCUGUUGAGAGGCAGAUCCUAGAGAUGAAGGGUCUUUCCGGGGAAGUGAUAGACACACUUUUGUCCAGCAGGAAAGCUGUUACCUCUAAGAUCUAUUUGAGGGUUUGGAGGGCCUUCCUUCGAUUUGCAAAUAAGCCAGUUAAUGUCUUGGAACCCCCGGAGUUGCCUCUAGUCCUGAGCUUCCUCCAGGAAGGCUGGAAUAAGAAACUGAGGCCUAGUACUUUAAAGGUCCAUAUCUCUGCCUUAAGUGCUCUCUCUGAGUAUAAGUUAGCAGACCACCCCUGGAUUAAAAGAUUUGUAGUUGCAAUCUCAAGACUUGCUCCCGUCCAGAAGUCCAGAGUUCCCCCCUGGGAUUUAAAUCUAGUCCUGUCUGCCUUAACCGGAGAUCCCUUUGAGCCCAUUGAGGACAUCCCAAUUAAGAUCUUAACCUAUAAAUUAGUUUUCUUGCUAGCCAUUACUUCAGCUAGAAGAGUGAGUGAGAUUUCGGCCUUCUCUAUCGAGAAACCGUAUCUUAAUAUUUUAGAAGAUAGGGUUAUUUUAUCUCCUGACCCUGCCUUCCUUCCAAAGGUUUCAUCAUCCUUUCAACGGUCUCAGGAUAUAGUUUUACCUUCCUUCUGUUCCUCACCCAAGAAUCAGAAGGAGAGGGAAUUUCAUUGCCUCGAUGUUAGAAGGUGUCUAAUUCAAUACCUUUCUGCCACUCAGGACUGGAGGUCGUCCUCUAAGCUUGUGGUUUCCUUUCAGGGACAGAAGAAGGGCUCCCCUGCUUCCUCUCAGUCCAUUGCCAGGUAUAUAAAACAGGCCAUUUAUCUGGCAUAUUCCUCUAAAGGGGUUCCUCCUCCUGCCGGGUUUGGAGCACACUCAACGAGAGCAGUGUCUACAUCCUGGGCAGAAAGAGCUUCCGCUUCUAUUGACCAGAUUUGCAGAGCGGCUACAUGGAGUUCUGCUCAUACCUUCUUUAAGCACUAUAGGCUGCAGCUUCCUUCACAGGAAGGUUUAGAGUUUGGGCGUAAAGUCCUCCAAGCAAUUGUCCCACCCUAGAUAAUCUCGCCUAGAUAUCCAUGGGUGCUGUCAUAGGCGAGGGGGGAAACAUGUGAUUACACUUACCGGUAAUUGUUUUUCCUUGAGCCUGUGACAGCACCCGCCUAAUUCCCUUCCAAAAAAAAAUAAUUAUUAAAUAAAUAAGAUAAAAAGAGACAAAAGGAAAAAAAAAAAAAAAAAAAAAAAAAAAAUAUAUAUAUAUAUAUAUAUAUAUAAUAUUUUUAUAUUUAUAUAUAGAAAGAGAUAUUUACGUGUGUGUUUGUAUGUACUUCUAUAUACACACGGAUAUAAGCGUUUGUUCUGUUGUAGAUUUGUGGUGUAGUUUUUGUCUCCUUAGUUCUUGGAAUAGGACUGGCAUGAUGGGGGUUGUACCUCCCUUUUGAAGAGGCUGUGCUUCCUGUUUCCUGUCCUGAGGAAGGGGGCGGAUGCUAUCCAUGGGUGCUGUCAUAGGCUCAAGGAAAAACGAUUACCGAAUAAUGUUGCAAACACAACACCGUUACAAGCUGGAAAAAGCCAAGAAAAAAGUGGAAGCAAUACUCCCACUCGUAGAUCUGUGUUACCACCACGGUUA